rnacentral:miRNA from 1 species
UCCGUGCUCCUUCAAGGCAUGUAUCAAACAGAAAGUAAUGCAUUUUUCAACUAUCUCCACUAGAAUGUGUGCUCCUGGAGGUCAGCAACU